GGCCCCUUCCCAAUCAGGAAACUUGGGUGAUGAGGGGCAGCGAAGGGGUGGGGUGGGAUCUUGGUCCAGCUGGUACUGGAGCGGCGACAAUUUUGGCUAGUCUAAGAAGGGCAUUCGAGUGACCGUUGACAACGGGUGGGACAGCGUCAGAGCUGGAGGGAGAGCCAGCACUGUAUGCUUCCAGGACUUCUUGCUAGGUGCAUUAGUUUUUAUUUUUAAGAGUUGGGUAAAAGACAUUAAUUAGUUAGCAUCUCACUCAUCGGCGAUUUUCUACGGUAUGAUUUCAUCCAAAGAGGAUUUCUUAAUCGCACUGUGUGACACCGUUAGGGGACUUAGAGUGUCACUCGCCGCCUUAAAUCCUUUCGGGAACAAGCCAGGAUAUAAAUAAAUAAAGCUAGGUGUGGGUCUUCCCUUCACAAGGCGCUGGUAGGCAGACUAAAGACAGGCAACAGCUGAGUGUGCACACAGAACUAAAUAUUGAACGAAAUACGAGUGUCGGAAUAAAAUUCAUUGCCAUGUGCACGGCUUAUGAUUAUACAGAUCUUGGACAUAUCACGGACCUGAACGUCAACCCUGCAACACCGGAUAAAACAUCUAAUGUAGCUGGAAUAGACUCUGAAAGGACGUUAGGCAUUAUCUAAAUCAAGUCCCUCAUUUUACAGAUGAGUAAACUGACUCAGUGAAGUAUUUUGCUCAAGGUCGUUCAUCAAAUUAGUAGUUUAAUUAACUCAGUGUUCUAGGAAGCAGGGUAGUAGAAAAGCAUGGGAUUCGGAGUCUGAAAUCUUCCUUGGUUUCUGGUCCUUGUAGGCUGUUUUACAAGUGUAUCUUGGGCAAAUCCCUUAACGUCUUGCCAUUUAUUAAGGGCUUACUUACCACGUGGCAAACAAUCCACUUUGCAUGCUGUGUCAAUUACAUGCAGUAUGUCGUGUAGUUAUUACUGUCCCCAUUUUAUGAGGUAGUUUAGGUUUAAAGAUAUUAGAAAUUUACCCAAAGUUACGCAGUUAUAAACAUUGUAGUAAUUUCAAACUCAGGUCUUCGUGACUGCAAAGGCUGCUGUCUUAAGUAUUGUAAUACAUUAGAGCUCCGGAUUCCCUCCCACUCAAAACAGAGACUGAGACUCCAACCAAUUUCCACCAUUAUUGGGAGUCAAACGAGAGAGACUGUGGCAAUGUAUUCUAAGCUGUACAAAGGUAUAAACAUAUUCACUAGAUUUGUAGAAUGAAGUUAUUCCUUCCCUAUACUUUCCACUACAACAAUUCAGCCAAAAAGAUGGCUUUCAUACUAAGCAUAAGAAGGAACUUCACUGUAAUUAUGAUAUUCUAACCAAGAAUAUAUGCAUAUCUAGGCAAUAACCAAAGUGAAUAGAAUAAAAUUUAAUUCCUGAUAGAUUAAAUAGGCAAUAGCAAGGAAUGCUAACGCUCCUCAUAGCGUUCUUGUUGGAAGAAUCAUCUAGGAGGCAUUGGGAUUUCUGGUGCUUUUUAAGCAAUGAGAGAUAUCAGUCCACUGAAUGAGGAAGAGAAUAACGUUUAGUUUCGGACUAAAAGUUCAUCUGGACUACGGAAAACACGUUUGCCUCAAUCAGUGAAGAAGGUAUGCUGAGAGCUGAAAGAAAAGGAAAGCAGCAACAGUGAGAGCUCAGAAAUUCCCAGACUGUUUUGAUGAUAAGGUCCAAGAACUUGCCAUGUGAUCCAUCACUACUAGACUCCCACAACUGCAUUAGAUUUGUUCAGGAUUUUCAUAUAAUUUUCAUAACUGGCUAAGGAACUGAAUCUUCAGUCACCUUGAUUUUGGACUUCCCAG
ensembl:lncRNA NOVA1-DT NOVA1 divergent transcript